rnacentral:precursor_RNA from 1 species
AAGGCGGACCGAAUUCAGACAUGAUUUUACUUCCAUGUUUGAUUUCCGUCCACCCAUC